UCUCGAAAUUCUCGGGAAUCCCGAGAUGGUUUCGGGAUCCUGGAAAUUCACGGGAAUCCCGGAUGUAUUCGGGAUUUUGAAAUUCUCGGGAUUCCAUCCCGAUCGCGGGAGGAAUUCCCGUCCCCGGACCGGGAUCCCGCACACCCCUAGUUCCAUGAUUGUGUUUCGGAAUCUGACAAAGUAAAGAGUGCACUCCGUGAUACUUUCGCUACGAAAUAAGGUUACUUCUAGGAUUUUAUAAUUAACAUCACGGCGACCAGUUUCAGGUAAUCGACCCACGCGCUCGGCUGACCAUACCGAUCUCACGCUAUAUCAGUGUUUCUCAAACUUCACCUCUCCGCAGACUCCCCUCGAUAAAGGCUAACUUUUUGCUGCGCCGCUGGAGGAGAAUUCAAUUUAUUUAUAUUCGCAAAAGCUUAUCUUCAUUAUACCACCGGCUUCCAAACUUCUUUGAAAGACCUCUUAAACAGGAAAAAUGUACAGGUCCUCGGUCAUAGAUCGAGCGACAGUGGUCGAAAACCGACUUACUAGAAUACGAGAAAGGCAAGACUAAUUUGUUAUUAACGCAAAACUAAUCUCAUAGCCAAGCGAUCAAUGUAAUCAAAGGCUAACGCGAUCCCGUACCUCGGCGAAUAGUGUAAUCAAACACAUAAUCUGUCCCUUAGCUGAGCGAUUAAUGUAAUCAUCGAACGCAAAAUGUAUCCAUAUUCACUCCGUUUGAUUACAUUCCAUUUGAUUACAUUUAAUAAGGAAACCUGAAUGGUUUUCAACCAUGAAACGAUUCUUACAUCCCAACAAAUCCAAUUACUACAAAACUACAUUAUAUCGUAAUCGCGUUGUGAUUCGCGACGUGAAAUCACUUGGAAGAUGAAAUUUGAGAAGCACUGUGCCGCACAUAUCAUUUGAAUGAAGUCUACAAACGAUAUCAGCGGGCUCAUAAUAGUUUCAAUGGUGCCAAUUAUACCUUUGAAAGAGUUUCACUGGCCAUCGCUGCAUUAAUUGAACCCUCGUUCGAGCAAUCGUACCAAUAAUUUCAACCUUUGACACGAACUAAAUUAAAUUCAUUGCAUCGUAAACUUGGAAAAAUUAUAACAAAAUUAUAACGUGUCCAACGUUUGUAAAGCGUGCGACCCACUUGACCGAGGACACGAAAACAGUGAAAAAAGUUCACAUAAACACGUCGCCCCGUUCGACCUCCAUCCCGGCAAACCAUUUUUUUUUUUUUUGCUUCAACAAUUUUUCAUCGCGAACCCAAGCUAGUGUAAUUGAUUCUAUCAAACUGUUUGUACACAAUGUUCUUACGACUCGUCCUUUUCUUUAAUAGGAAAUUAAUGGGUCAAUCGCGGCGUCGACUUGUUGAGCAAUCAAUUGCGCGCGAUUAUUGGAUGCGAUUUGUGCAUCGUCCCAUUUCAGCCGUGCGAGCCAGCCAGUUCUCGAACGAAUAAUUUUCUAACGGAUGAACCGAUCGUGCACCUCGCACAACGUAACGAGGAGCCUGCUGACGAUUCGAUAAAGUACCUGGAAUAUUUGAAAAAACUGAGAACCUCUAUUGUCUAUGACAGGAUAUCCGCAGUAUGCUAGACGAAGAUGGGACGAUUUUGGCUACUUCCUGUGUAGAGAAAUUCGAGCCAGGAAGCGAAUAUCUUCAACUCGGCCUAGUCGUACGCGAACCAGUGUCUUAACAUCAUCAAUGUUCCUGAUACCGGGCGCAAAUGGUGAUCGACUUGGCGUGGAACGACCUUUCGACAAUUUCGUCUUCCAUCGGAAUUUAAUCACCUUCCGCCGUUUCCUUUUGUUCUUUCGCUUACGAAAAUUUUAAUCGUUCGCAAGAAGUCAACUGUCUCCCCGUUCUCUUUCACUGUGUAAUGAUAGUGUUCUGUUUUCGUUUAUCUCUUUUACAGACAUGAUCACUUAUGCACAAACAUUCGUCGAUCGCAACCAAAGAAAUCGGAGGUGACGCGCUCUUCGUGUAAGAAAGAAAUAUACUUGGAGAACGUCGCGGUUAUUUUCACAGGGGCGAACACCUGACGAGUUCAUUCGAUUCGUUGUUAAUUAACUGUGGACUUUUAUGCAUUUAUACGAAAUUUUAUCAAACGAUAUAAUAGUAAAGUUUGUAUCGCGAUAUUCGCAGAGCGAAGUAAUAGAUGAAGCGUUUUAGAGAUUUUUAGAGAACAAAUUAAGAUAAUAAAUUCCUGUUUAGGUACAGUUCUUUUGGGUACGUUUUGCAAAAGAUUUUAUUUUGCAUGAAGAUCCGCAGUCUAGUUAUCAGGCUACGUUUCGAUUGUCAAGAUGAUCGUGAUAUCCCUUCGAGUGCAAAAAUGAAAUUAAGAGAUUCCAAGUAAACGAACCAGAAACGAAUUCCUUGUAUAUUUCUAAUGAUUGAAAAGUUAAAUUUUAAAACGAUACACGCCGAUCUUUUUUACGCGUUUAAAGUUCACAUUCGAUGGCAUUGAAUAUAUAAUUACGACGCUGAAUUUGAAAAUGUCCGUCACGGAUCGCCGAACUAUACCGAAGCGGUACGAGCAGAGACGGGCAAAAUUCGAUUCGAAUAAUAGGUAACGAAUCCUCGAUUUAAUAACUAAAAUGUUCAGUUAAACGAAAACGAGAAUCAUCGCUCUGUUAUUCGAACCAUUGAUUUUCAUUUUCGUAACUUGUCCAAACGCCUCGGAACCAGUUCGUGGAGCCUCCAGUCUUUUUGAAAUUCUGCGUCUAAUUCGAUUAUAUCUCUCGAAGAGAGCCAAAUCCAACGACUAAUGGAUCGAACUAUCAACAAAUCUCGAUAUCUUCAGUUUGCUCUAUAUUUAUUUUUAUCUAUUUUAUUUAGCAUCUUUGUUGCGCAAUUAUGUAAGGGUACGUAUAAGAUGAACACGUUAUAUUUAUGCUGAUACAUAUGCAAGAGGCGGAGUUUGACUGUAGUUCUGUUUCUAAACCAGUCUUUUCGAAUACGACUAUUAUCUCUCAGUCGUGAUUCAAUUAAAAUAUUCAUUUUAAUAUAUUUUAUACCGCAACAUAAAUUUGAAUUUCGUGUUCAUCUUUCGUUCGUUAUUUGGAAAUUGUUAGCUAGUUAGAAAUGUUUUGCCCAUCUCUGUAUACGUAGCCGAAGAGGAGCGAUCACUGAAAGCCGAUUACUCGAAACAACAAAUGAUUUUACGCGUCGAACGAAGUCACCGCGUUUCGUUUUUGCCUUACCUGUCGACUUCCGUCUACAGUUGGCAAGGAUGAGCGAGCAACUCCGCGCGAUUAUGUUCGUUCCAGCAUCAAGACCGCCGUGGGCGAACGAAAACGGUAAGCGUUACCGAAAAUCGCGAGGGGGCACAUCCGCUAACGAGUAAAAAAUAAAAAAAACCGUACCGCGCGUUUUUUCACGAGCGAAAUCGGUAACCGUGUCGGUACCUGAUCUUCAAACGAGUGAGUAUGAUGUACUCGUUGCCGCGCGAUGGCUCUCUUAGCGGUCUUGACGUCAAACACCUUGGCUCCAUCCCCUCUUGGACGCGAUGAAAAAGAAGGGAUGAUCAGGGAUGAUCUAGGAAACACGGGAAGCGGUGUAGGUAUCACUUAAUGGAAAAGGGUCCAUAAGAAAAAGUGUAAAACAUAUAUUUGAAACACAUUUUCUCU